rnacentral:rRNA from 1 species
GUGCCGCAGUUAACACAAUAAGUAAUCCACCUGGGGAGUACGACCGCAAGGUUGAAACUCAAAGGAAUUGACGGGGGCCCGCACAAGCAGUGGAGUAUGUGGUUUAAUUCGAAGCAACGCGAAGAACCUUACCAGGUCUUGACAUCGGAUGCAUACCUAAGAGAUUAGGGAAGUCCUUCGGGACAUCCAGACAGGUGGUGCAUGGUUGUCGUCAGCUCGUGUCGUGAGAUGUUGGGUUAAGUCCCGCAACGAGCGCAACCCUUAUCGUUAGUUACUACGCAAGAGGACUCUAACGAGACUGCCGUUGACAAAACGGAGGAAGGUGGGGAUGACGUCAAAUCAUCAUGCCCUUUAUGACCUGGGCUACACACGUACUACAAUGGCUAUUAACAGAGAGAAGCGAUACCGCGAGGUGGAGCAAACCUCACAAAAAUAGUCUCAGUUCGGAUCGCAGGCUGCAACCCGCCUGCGUGAAGCCGGAAUUGCUAGUAAUCGCGGAUCAGCAUGCCGCGGUGAAUACGUUCCCGGGCCUUGUACUCACCGCCCGUC